rnacentral:rRNA from 1 species
UUGCAGUUAAAAAGCUCGUAGUCGGAUUUCAGUAUUAGGCCCUUCUUCCAAUACGGUUGCUAGUGGUCUUUACUUCCUUAACAGAAUCUUUCAUCUCAUUAAUUUGGGGUGUUUGGGGCCUGUUUCUUUUACUUUGAGAAAAUUAGAGUGUUCAAAGCGGGUUUUCGCCUGAUAUUACUCUUGGAAUAAUAAUAUAGGACUUUGGUUCUUUUUUGUUGGUGACUUAGAACCGAAGUAAUGAUUGAUAGGGACAGUUGGGGUCAUUCGUACUAUGAAGCGAGAGGUGAAAUUCAUGGACCUUUGUAUGACGAACUACUGCGAAAGCAUUUGACUAGGAUGUUCCCGUUGAUCAAGAACGAAAGUUGGGGGAUCGAAGA